rnacentral:rRNA from 1 species
AACGAACGCUGGCGGCAUGCCUAACACAUGCAAGUCGAACGAGACCUUCGGGUCUAGUGGCGCACGGGUGCGUAACGCGUGGGAACCUGCCCUUAGGUUCGGAAUAACUCCCCGAAAGGGGUGCUAAUACCGGAUAAUGUCUUCGGACCAAAGAUUUAUCGCCUUUGGAUGGGCCCGCGUUGGAUUAGCUAGUUGGUAGGGUAAAAGCCUACCAAGGCGACGAUCCAUAGCUGGUCUGAGAGGAUGAUAAGCGACACUGGGACUGAGACACGGCCCAGACUCAUGCGGGAGGGAGCAGUGGGGGAUAGUGGAGAAGGGGGGGAAGCCUGAUCAAGCAAUGCCGCGUGAGUGAUGAAGGCCGUAGGAUUGUAAAGCUCUUUUACCCGGGAUGAUAAUGACAGUACCGGGAGAAUAAGCGCCGGCUAACUCCGUG